AAUCAACGCUGGCGGCGUGCCUCAGACAUGCAAGUCGAACGAUUAAAGCUCUCUUCGGAGAGUGUAUAGAGUGGCGCACGGGUGAGUAACACGUAAGUAAUCUACCUUUGAGUGGGGAAUAACCCGGGGAACCCGAGCUAAUACCGCAUAAUGCAGCGGCACCGCAAGGUGACAGUUGUUAAAGGAGCAAUCCGCUUAAAGAGGAGCUUGCGGCAGAUUAGCUAGNGGUAAGGUAAUGGCUUACCAAGGCUUCGAUCUGUAUCCGGCCUGAGAGGGCGGUC
rnacentral:rRNA from 1 species